rnacentral:misc_RNA from 1 species
GAUGAAGAACGUAGCGAAAUGCGAUAAGUAAUGUGAAUUGCAGAAUUCAGUGAAUCAUCGAAUCUUUGAACGCAUCUUGCGCUCCUUGGUAUUCCUUGGAGCAUGCCUGUUUGAGUAUCAUGAGCAAAUCUCAAAGUCAAUUCCUUUUGUUAAUUCAAUUUGGUUUUGCUUUGGACUUGGAGGUCUUGCAGAUUUCACAGUCUGCUCCUCUUAAAUGCAUUAGCUGGAUCUCAGUAAUUAUGCUUGGUUCCAAUCGGCGUGAUAAGUAUCACUCGCUGAGGACACUGUUAAAAAGGUGGCCAGGAAAAUACUGAUUGAACCGCUUCUAACGGUCUAUUAAGUUAGACAAUUACCCUUAAGUUUGAUCUCAAAUCAGGUAGGACUACCCGCUGAACUUAAGCAUAUCAAUAAGCGGAGGA